rnacentral:rRNA from 1 species
GGCGUGCUUAACACAUGCAAGUCGAACGAUGAUGCCCAGCGUGCUGGGUUGAUUAGUGGCGAACGGGUGAGUAACACGUGAGUAACCUGCCCUUGACUUCGGGAUAACUCCGGGAAACCGGGGCUAAUACAGGAUAUGAGCUACCUCCGCAUGGGGGUGGUUGGAAAGUUUUUCGGUCAGGGAUGGGCUCGCGGCCUAUCAGCUUGUUGGUGGGGUGAUGGCCUACCAUGGCGACGACGGGUAGCCGGCCUGAGAGGGCGACCGGCCACACUGGUACUGAGACACGGCCCAGACUCCUACGGGAGGCAGCAGUGGGGAAUAUUGCACAAUGGGCGCAAGCCUGAUGCAGCGACGCCGCGUGAGGGAUGAAGGCCUUCGGGUUGUAAACCUCUUUCAGCAGGGAAGAAGCGCAAGUGACGGUACCUGCAGAAGAAGCGCCGGCUAACUACGUGCCAGCAGCCGCGGUAAUACGUAGGGCGCAAGCGUUGUCCGGAAUUAUUGGGCGUAAAGAGCUCGUAGGCGGUUUGUCGCGUCUGGUGUGAAAAC